rnacentral:rRNA from 1 species
UACGUAGGGUGCAAGCGUUGUCCGGAAUUAUUGGGCGUAAAGAGCUCGUAGGCGGUUUGUCGCGUCUGCUGUGAAAACGCGAGGCUCAACCUCGCGCCUGCAGUGGGUACGGGCAGACUAGAGUGUGGUAGGGGAGAUCGGAAUUCCUGGUGUAGCGGUGGAAUGCGCAGAUAUCAGGAGGAACACCGGUGGCGAAGGCGGAUCUCUGGGCCAUAACUGACGCUGAGGAGCGAAAGCAUGGGGAGCGAACAGG